UUAGUAGUAUAAUCUUUCAAUUCCAAUUGUUUCCAGUAAAAACCAUACUUCACGACAAGUUUUGCUGUAUGAGAGACAUGAAUAAUCUUUGAAUAAUUUGGAUUCUACUACAACUUUAAUAGCAUUUUCCAGUUAAGUGCUUUCCCCCUGCUCUGUAAUGGUUGCCAUUAUAAGUUUAUAAGAAGAUUUCCCAGCAAGAGGAUUUCGUACCACCCAAAGCUUUCCUAUGGAGACACUCCUCAAUAUUAGCAACCAUUUUUUUGGAAUUAUGACACAAUUAUACAGCUACCAAGAGUAGUGCAUUUCUCUCCAUUAACAAGCUCACUGAUGUUCACCGAAAGUUACUUAUUGCAUUUAUGCACAUAUGAGAAGACACUGUCAAAAGGUGUAUCUUUUCUGAGUGCUGUCCAAGACUGAAGACCUUUAAGAUUACAGUCCAACUUUUGACCAGCAUAUACAAACAGGCUCAUAAUCAUCUGCACAAAAGCCUAUGCCAUUUCCUAGUUAACAUACUUUAAAAAGGCUUGCCACAAGUGGAAGUAUCAUUGCAUAGGAUUAUGCAGAGCAAGCUAAUAAUUUAAAGUAGGUCUUAAAGGUAUGGAAAAUACACAUAUGAUUACCAGGAAUCUUUCCUUCCUGGUGGAGUAGAAGAGAAAACAGAAGAGCUAAUUUAUACUUUAGCAAACAGAAAGUAAGCUUGCUGCUGUCAGAAUAAAAAGACAAAAGGUAUGUGGCUAACAUGUACUGUGUACAGGCAGAAGUGUCCUACCCCUGCUAUGUUAAACACAGGCAAGGUCCUUAGGGAAAUAAGGUCUUCUUGUUGGUUUGUUGUUUGGUGUGGUGGUUGUUUGGUGUUUUGGUUUGGUUUUUUUUCUAACUACAUCAGCACUCUCUUUUCCUGUUUUUCGAUAUGUAUCUCAGUAUUUUCUUGUUCCCUGAAUCAGACAGCUCCAGACUCAGUGUUUUUGUUUCUGGGGGUCUCAUUCAAUGACCUGACUGCCUCUGCCCUAGGUACAGGCUUUCUGGGGAUCCCUAGAGGGGAGGAGGACCAUAGCGCCUGUCAUCCUUUUGGCUUUGGGCCUCACACAAAAUGCAGCUUUGUCCUUUUGCUCUGCCCCUGUGAAAGUCAUGGAAGUGUUUAUAAAAAAAUGUUUUCUGUUUCACUUGUGAUAGAGCCUCAGUAGCUGAGCUGAAAUUGCCUGGAUGUUCUAAACUUAUAAGCAUCAUCCCACCAGAGAUGUGUUCUUGAAUGUUAAAUUUAGGCUAAUUGGAGGCAUAUCCUUUAAUUUAGCAAGCUGAGGUUACUAAUACAGAUCAAGAGCUAAAAAUUAACAGUGGAGCUGAUGUAUGCUAAAUGCCUAAGUGAUAUCUUAACCUAUAAUUAUACAAGUUCUGUUAAUAGUGAAUAAUUCAAAUCUUCAGGGAUUUCAAUAGUCUAAUGGGCUGUAGUUAUUCCCAAUUUACAUUAUGGUUGCUAGGUUUCAUUAAAAUGAGAAAAAGGCUGUAUAGCAUAGCAGAAGAAAAUUGGUGUUUGAAGUUAUCACCCAGGAACCAAAAUAUGAAAUUUAAAUUAGAAGGUGUCCAAGCAACACAAUGACACCAAAGCCAAUCAUUGAUAAUGAAAGUAGGAAGAGAGGGAGUUUGCAGAGAAUAUUAAAGGAAGACAGCACUACUAGCAACGUGCUCCGUAACUACAAUACCUUAAACUCUGCACUACUGCCGCAUGUAAGGAGUCCAAAACAUAUCACAAACCUCAUUAAGGCUCACAAUGCUCUUCUGAAUUAUUUAAAUUUUGUUAUCACUGAUUUGCAGAUGGCAGGCUGAGGCACACAAAGCUUAUCUGAAGUUCUGCAAUGACUCAGUAGCAUGCAAAAGGAGCAGCUCAGGGCUGCAACCUCUCCCCUAGCCUUCUGCCAGAUACAGCUACACCACACCAUCGCUCUGGGAGGCUCUUCAGCCAGUCCCCCUCCAUGGUUUGCCACUGCUAGUUUCAUCCUCAUACAACGAUCAUCAAUCUUCUCAGCUGAGCUGAGACACACUGGGAGAUGUGCUAUACACCAGCUCACUCAAAGCAACAUGGGUUAAAGCUAGUACUUCCAGAAGAGCCAGACGGGCUUCUUAUUCAUCUGAACCACUGUAGACAUCUGGCUUGCAGUGCAGUCACACAAACACAACAGCACAACUGCAGGGAUGGCAAGUCACUGCGGGGAGGGAGAGGGGGAGCUCGGAGAGAACACCUUCAACUGGUGUUGAGACCACCAAGAAAGUGUUGUGUAGCCAGCUCUGGUCAUAUGUGUUUCCACAGACUUGGGAUAUGCUUUUGGGGGGCCACAGUAUACACCCCCUAGACUCCAUGUACAACAGCUAAUGGCCUCCUCUUAGCCAAGCCCACCCAGGCUUUCAGAGUAAGUAGGAUUUGCUGACUUGAAGCUUAAACCUGUCAGUGUGACCCAUUGCUACUAGUCUACAGUGAUGUGGUCUCUCCCAACUCCUACUCUUCUGAGCUGUAAUGUAUGCAGAUGAACUAUUUUUGGAACAACGAGGAUAAAUCAGAUUACAUAGGUAAUAAAAAUACCACAUAAGUUAACAGAGAUGAGCAGCAUGUGUUUCCUUGACUUGAAUCAAAUUGUAUCUGACACGUUUUGGUAUCUAAAUUUGACCUUAAAUUUCCUUUCAAUUCUUCUGGAGCAUACUUUAAAUAUAGAGAGUAUCUGCUUCUUAUGAGCAGGCUAACAACUAAAAUGUACUUUUGUACCUAAAGAUUAGUGAUUUCUUCCAUGUUUUGUUAGUGAUUCAUGUUACUUUAUCUAAAUUCAGGCUCAAAUUCCUCACAUUUCACGUUUGGAAUCUAAGUUAAGUAUCUGAAUUUCUCUAAAAAGGCAGAGAAUACUGUGGGAUGGGUUUGCUUGCUUGUUUGUUUUAAUUUAAACACCUUGAAGCCUUGUAGUCUGAAUGCUAGUGAAUGCCCCAUGAGACGAAGAGUUAUAACUAGUUCUUUCUUUAUAAAAUAACAAUUCCCAAUAGCUCCUUUUUAUUCUUUUCUGAAUCCAAGUAACCUCUUACAUCUCACUCUGAAAUACAUGUAUCCAUUUUGUAAGAUAUUGCUAAAUAUCUCUAAUUUACAUAACAAGCAACAGCCAAACUCCACGUACAUUGUGUUAGUUAUUAUUACUAUUAUGUAAUUACAUAAUGGAGAAAUAGCAAAUUCAAACAAAGUGCUGAUCAUGAAGUAUAUUAAAUUAUAGCAUUGCCUCUGCUGCAGGGGAGGUGUGCCCAGUGGCGCACCCUCCCUCAUGCAGACAAUAGGAUAAGCCAGAGCACAAGCCAGCUUCUCUCCUGGAAACUGAAGGAGACACCCAAGACCCAAGGAGACUUCUUCUGACUUCUGUUGUGUGCUGCAACCAGGAUGUACUUCAGGGUUCAGAGGUGUAGGGCUUAAAGGCAGAACCUAGUGAUUCACAAUAAAUAUACAUUUCACUAAGUGAUCCAGAAAACUGAUGUGCUUCUGUGGGCAGGCUCAUUCUGAAAUUACAAGUAAAAAGAAAUCCUUCCCAAGCCUAUUUUUACAUGCAGCAGAUGAUGAGGAUUCAGCAGGGUUGGAUUUGGCUCAGGAACAUGUGCUGCAGUCGUCAGUGACCACAAGGCCUAAAGUCCUCAUAGCCGUGCUCUGCAAGCCCUGAGUAAUCUUGAGCAAACCACAUCAGCCUCCCAGCAGUUCAACAAAACAGUAUACCUAUCAGAAUUGCUUAGGUUAAUUACUGAGUGAUUGAAAACCUCUUUCAGAUUGGUAGAAAAUAGAUGCCUUGUUACUACAGAGUUAUGUUAAGCAAUAACACCACAAAUCAAUAAAAAUCACCAAACAGGCAUCUUCAGACACUUAACACCCAUUGCAAAUGCCAUUAGCAAGACGUUUGAGGGCUGUUCACAAAUCUCUUCAGUGUGAAUAUUAUAAACUCCCCAUAAAGCACUCAGAUGCCCCAGUGAUGGCCAUGCAUGUUGCAUACACCACAAUCCUGUCCCUGUGCUAUUAACAGUACUGGUUUCACGUUUAAAAAUUGUGUCCUGGGAAUAUGGCUGAGGACACAGCACACUAAAGAUGCAUUAGCAAGCAAAGAGACAUGUGGAUGGUCAGAGCACUCAUGAGACCAGGCUGUGACUCACUGCAUAACCCGGAGGAACUAACUUACCUUCUCAUCUUUAACAUAAUCCUCUGUGAGAAAUGUGUAUCAAAAUUUAAUUACUUCAUGGACUGUUAUGCAGUCUGAUUAAUAAUAUUUAGACAGCACUUGGAGAUCCCUAGAUAAAGGUGGUUGGUUUUUUUUUUUGUCAGCCUAUUAUUACUAAAACCUUCAUAACUUUCAUCUCUUGUGUUGGGUCCCUGAGUUUAAAGGCGUUCUUUCUAAUGCUCUGUACACAUUUUGUGAAACUCUGGCUGCUGGUGUCAAAUGCCAGCAUAUUCACAAGGCAUAAACCAUCUGGUUUUGCUGAAACUAAAUAUUCCCGUGUUUACUUAGGAAAAUUGAUGCAGAUACUUUCAGUUCUCGCAGCUGUUCCUUCCUGGGAAACAGGAGAAGAACAUUUUUCUCUCCGAAGAAGAGAAAUAGUAAGCUUGACUGACAUUCCCAAACUGCAGAUCCCGCAGGCCCAAAUUAUUUGCCUUGUUUUCCUCAGAAGUCCUUCCCCCUUCCUUGCUUGGGGAAUAAUGCCACAGCAGGAGAGGCUGCCAGGGGAACUGAGAUUGUAUCAUAUGCUAAUAAAUAUAAUUUUUAAAAAACC